rnacentral:rRNA from 1 species
UUCACUGACUGGCCGACUCUUGCAGGUUGGACACAAUUCUCCCUUGGAUCCAGACUUUGAUCCUGGCUCAGGAUGAACGCUGGCGGCGUGCCUAAUACAUGCAAGUCGAACGCGAGCACUUGUGCUCGAGUGGCGAACGGGUGAGUAAUACAUAAGUAACCUGCCCUAGACAGGGGGAUAACUAUUGGAAACGAUAGCUAAGACCGCAUAGGUACGGACACUGCAUGGUGACCGUAUUAAAAGUGCCUCAAAGCACUGGUAGAGGAUGGACUUAUGGCGCAUUAGCUGGUUGGCGGGGUAACGGCCCACCAAGGCGACGAUGCGUAGCCGACCUGAGAGGGUGACCGGCCACACUGGGACUGAGACACGGCCCAGACUCCUACGGGAGGCAGCAGUAGGGAAUUUUCGGCAAUGGGGGAAACCCUGACCGAGCAACGCCGCGUGAAGGAAGAAGGUUUACGGAUUGUAAACUUCUGUUAUAAAGGAAGAACGGCGGCUACAGGAAAUGGUAGCCGAGUGACGGUACUUUAUUAGAAAGCCACGGCUAACUACGUGCCAGCAGCCGCGGUAAUACGUAGGUGGCAAGCGUUAUCCGGAAUUAUUGGGCGUAAAGAGGGAGCAGGCGGCAGCAAGGGUCUGUGGUGAAAGCCUGAAGCUUAACUUCAGUAAGCCAUAGAAACCAGGCAGCUAGAGUGCAGGAGAGGAUCGUGGAAUUCCAUGUGUAGCGGUGAAAUGCGUAGAUAUAUGGAGGAACACCAGUGGCGAAGGCGACGAUCUGGGCCUGCAACUGACGCUCAGUCCCGAAAGCGUGGGGGGAGCAAAUAGGAUUAGAUACCCUAGUAGUCCACGCCGGUAAACGAUGAGUACUAAGUGGUUGGAUGUCAAAGUUCAGUGCUGCAGUUAACGCAAUAAGGUACUCCCGCCUGGAGUAGUACGUUCGCAAGAAUGCAACCUCAAAUGAAUCGAACGGAAGGMCGAAUCAGGAAA